UCUGGAGAGCCGCCCGACGCGGUCGUCGCCGCUCGUGGUUGACCCGGCGGCCACCGUCGCCCCCGCUGGCAAGAAGCUUGUCCAGGAGCUCGGCGCACUGCUGAUCCGUCCUCCCCAACCACACGUUCGAGCUGGGCGCAUCUACAUCAUGGGCAUCAACCUCACCUUUUCCCCGGCCGCCACACGUAGUUACCGGUCCCUACUAUUCCGGCCAUCCCCGACCACGUCGGACCCGUCCAUGACCUUCCCUCGACGAUGCAACCCAGGAGGUGGCAUAUCCCGUCGUCGACGACUUCUACCCCGACGGUGCCUACUACUAUGUGGAGGCCGCUGAAGACCAGGAGUAGUUUAGGAGGUUCCCAUGCUGGAGUCCUCGCCUUGUUCGAUCCCUGUAUAUUUUGUGCCAACCUUCUCUAAGGCAUUAUCAUGUUUCAUGUGUUUACUUUAUAUUUGUUGCUUCCGCUGACUCGUGUGUUUAUCGGGCUUCUGUAUUCUAGCCCUCGAGGCCCUUGGCUUUUAAUAUGAAGCGUGUAUGUUUUUAUUUGUGUUUAGAGUUGUGCUGUGAUAUCUUCCAGUGAAUUAUUGAGCUUGGUCGUACACAUUUGCAA